rnacentral:piRNA from 1 species
UAGAAGUUUUUAAAAGAUGUCCUAUGCCC